rnacentral:rRNA from 1 species
UCGAACGAAUCCCAGGGGGGUAACUCUCUGGGGGAGUGGCGAAAGGGGCAGUAAGGCGUGGAUAACUUGCCCCGGACUUCGGGAUAGCCCCUCUAACGAGGGGGUAAUACCGAACGCCGUAGCGAGGGGGCAUCCUCUUGCUACGAAAGCUGCGGCGGUCCGGGAGGGGUUCAUGUGGUAUUAGCUAGUUGGUGGGGUUACGGCCCGCCAAGGCCAAGAUGCCUAGCAGGUGUGAGAGCACGACCUGCGCCACUGGCACUGGGACACUGGCCAGACUCCUACGGGAGGCUGCAGUCGAGGAUCUUCGGCAAUGGGCGAAAGCCUGACCGAGCGACGCCGCGUGUGCGAUGAAGGCCUUCGGGUUGUAAAGCACUGUCGUGGGGGAGAAAGACCGCAAGGUUUGAUCGACCCCAGGAGGAAGCACGGGCUAAGUUCGUGCCAGCAGCCGCGGUAAGACGAACCGUGCGAACGUUAUUCGGAAUCACUGGGCUUAAAGGGCGCGUAGGCGGGUGGCCAAGUCCGGGGUGAAAGCCCCCAGCUCAACUGGGGAAGUGCCUCGGAUACUGGUCGCCUCGAGGGAGAUAGGGGCGUGCGGAACUUCCGGUGGAGCGGUGAAAUGCGUAGAUAUCGGAAGGAACACCGGUGGCGAAAGCGGCGCGCUGGAUCUCUUCUGACGCUGAGGCGCGAAAGCCAGGGGGAGCGAACGGGAUUAGAUACCCCGGUAGUCCUGGCCCUAAACGUUGGGUACUAGGUUGUGGGCUUACGUGGGCUCACAGCCGAAGC